rnacentral:rRNA from 1 species
CCUACGGGAGGCAGCAGUGGGGAAUUUUGGACAAUGGGCGCAAGCCUGAUCCAGCAAUGCCGCGUGAGUGAAGAAGGCCUUCGGGUUGUAAAGCUCUUUUGUCAGGGAAGAAACGGUGGGGGCUAAUAUCUCCUACUAAUGACGGUACCUGAAGAAUAAGCACCGGCUAACUACGUGCCAGCAGCCGCGGUAAUACGUAGGGUGCAAGCGUUAAUCGGAAUUACUGGGCGUAAAGCGUGCGCAGGCGGUUUUGUAAGUCUGUCGUGAAAGCCCCGGGCUCAACCUGGGAAUUGCGAUGGAGACUGCAAGGCUUGAAUCUGGCAGAGGGGGUAGAAUUCCACGUGUAGCAGUGAAAUGCGUAGAGAUGUGGAGGAACACCGAUGGCGAAGGCAGCCCCCUGGGUCAAGAUUGACGCUCAUGCACGAAAGCGUGGGGAGCAAACAGGAUUAGAUACCCUGGUAGUCCACGCCCUAAAACGAUGUCUACUAGUUGUCGGGUUUUAAAUUAACUUGGUAAACGCAGCUAACGCGUGAAGUAGACCGCCUGGGGAGUACGGUCGCAAGAUUAAAAACCUCAAAAAUGAAGUUAGUACGGACGUGAGACGUAGACCGAACGGACGACACGAGGGAGGAGGGAG